UCUGGUUGAUCCUGGCGGAGGUUACUGCUAUCGAGGUUCGACUAAGCCAUGCGAGUCGAAUGUAGCAAUACAUGGCGUACUGCUCAGUAACACGUGGACAACCUACCCUUAGGCCUGGGAUAACCCCGGGAAACUGGGAAUAAUACCGGAUAUCUCGCGAAUGCUGGAAUGCAUCGCGAUAUAAAGCUCCGGCGCCUAAGGAUGGGUCUGCGGCCUAUCAGGGUAGUAGUGGGUGUAAUGUACCUACUAGCCUACGACGGGUACGGGUUGUGAGAGCAAGAGCCCGGAGAUGGAUUCUGAGACACGAAUCCAGGCCCUACGGGGUGCAGCAGGCGCGAAAACUUUACAAUGCCGGCAACGGCGAUAAGGGGACCUCGAGUGCCAGGAUACAAUCCUGGCUGUCGUAAUGCCUAAAAAGCAUUGCAUAGCAAGGGCCGGGCAAGACCGGUGCCAGCCGCCGCGGUAACACCGGCGGCUCGAGUGGUAACCGCUAUUAUUGGGUCUAAAGGGUCUGUAGCCGGCUGACUAAGUCUCUUGGGAAAUCUGGCAGCUCAACUGUCAGGCUUUCAGGAGAUACUGAUCGGCUCGAGACCGGGAGAGGUGAGAGGUACCUCAGGGGUAGGGGUGAAAUCUUGUAAUCCUUGAGGGACCACCAGUGGCGAAGGCGUCUCACCAGAACGGAUCUGACGGCAAGGGACGAAAGCUAGGGGCACGAACCGGAUUAGAUACCCGGGUAGUCCUAGCCGUAAACGAUACUCGCUAGGUGUCGGCCACGGUGCGACCGUGGUCGGUGCCGUAGGGAAGCCGUGAAGCGAGCCACCUGGGAAGUACGGCCGCAAGGCUGAAACUUAAAGGAAUUGGCGGGGGAGCACUACAACGGGUGGAGCUUGCGGUUUAAUUGGAUUCAACGCUGGAAAUCUCACCGGGACCGACAGCGAUAUGAAGGCCAGGCUGAAGACCUUGCCGGAUUAGCUGAGAGGUGGUGCAUGGCCGUCGUCAGUUCGUACUGUGAAGCAUCCUGUUAAGUCAGGCAACGAGCGAGACCCA
rnacentral:rRNA from 1 species